UACGUAGGGUGCAAGCGUUAUCCGGAAUUAUUGGGCGUAAAGCGUGCGCAGGCGGUUAUGUAAGACAGUUGUGAAAUCCCCGGGCUCAACCUGGGAACUGCAUCUGUGACUGCAUAGCUAGAGUACGGUAGAGGGGGAUGGAAUUCCGCGUGUAGCAGUGAAAUGCGUAGAUAUGCGGAGGAACACCGAUGGCGAAGGCAAUCCCCUGGGCCUGCACUGACGCUCAUGCACGAAAGCGUGGGGAGCAAACAGG
rnacentral:rRNA from 1 species